CUUUGGAGUUAUAAAGAGAAGUGGUGUUGAGGCAAAUUCAAGAUGUGCUUCCCAGGAGCUGCAGUCAGUCAGCAAGAAGAUUAUAAGUGCCUUAAGAGCAGAAUUGUUUUUGCUGUUUCUGUCUGGAACAAGUCUGGGCCCAAGGUAGCUAUGAAAUAGUUGAAGUAUAGCUGAGGUAAAGAAACAGCAAGCCCAACACAAAACCAAUUUCACUCAGCUCAAAGGGGGAGAAGACCAGAAGGGAAAAAAAAAGCAGGUGACCUCCUGUUAACCUCACCCGUCUGCAAGAGGCUGCUGCCCUCACCUCUGAAUGAACUUUCAGAUUAUCUCAGACAAGAUUCACCUUGCGCUGAACUUGUACACCCG